GUGCCAGCCGCCGCGGUAAUACGGAGGAUGCGAGCGUUAUCCGGAAUCAUUGGGUUUAAAGGGUGCGUAGGCGGGCUUUUAAGUCAGCGGUGAAAGGCAGUGGCUCAACCAUUGGACUGCCGUUGAAACUGGAGGCCUUGAGUGCGUUGGGAGCAGGCGGAAUGUGUGGUGUAGCGGUGAAAUGCAUAGAUAUCACACAGAACACCGAUCGCGAAGGCAGCCUGCUAUACCGCGACUGACGCUGAGGCACGAAAGCGUGGGGAUCGAACAGGAUUAGAUACCCUGGUAGUCCACGCAGUACACGGUGGAUGCUCGCCGUUCGCGAUACACAGCGAGUGGCCAAGCGAAAGCGAUAAGCAUCCCACCUGGGGAGUACGCCGGCAACGGUGAAACUCAAAGGAAUUGACGGGCCCGCACAAGCGGAGGAACAUGUGGUUUAAUUCGAUGAUACGCGAGGAACCUUACCCGGGCUUGAAAGUUAGCGACGGGGGCGGAAACGCCCCCUCCCCUCGGGGCGCGAAACUAGGUGCUGCAUGGUUGUCGUCAGCUCGUGCCGUGAGGUGUCGGCUUAAGUGCCAUAACGAGCGCAACCCCUGCCGGCAGUUGCUAACAGGCAACGCUGAGGACUCUGCCGGGACUGCCACCGCAAGGUGCGAGGAAGGCGGGGAUGACGUCAAAUCAGCACGGCCCUUACGUCCGGGGCGACACACGUGUUACAAUGGGGGGUACAGAGGGCAGCGACCGGGCGACCGGAAGCGAAUCUCCAAAAGCCUCUCUCAGUUCGGAUCGGAGUCUGCAACCCGACUCCGUGAAGCUGGAUUCGCUAGUAAUCGCGCAUCAGCCAUGGCGCGGUGAAUACGUUCCCGGGCCUUGUACACACCGCCCGU
rnacentral:rRNA from 1 species